UCAGAAAACAUUAAUAACAAUAAAAAGGAAGAGGACGAAAAUAAAAAAAAAUAUUUGAUACAAUAGAAAGACAAAACAAUGCAGUUUGCGAAGUGUUGGCUGAACAUAGUGCUAGUUUAAAGACAAUAAUAUCAUCGUUCUGGAACACUCCUAAAUACAUAAAACAAUUUCCCAUUAAAUCGGAGGAAAGUUUAUGUAAAUGGGAGGAGGAUAUUACCGAGGAAAAUAAGAAUGAAAUGGUGAAAACUGUCACCACUAUUAUGGGGGAGAAAGGAUUAAUGAAAGGAUUGCCUUUAAUAAUAUCGCCAAAGAUUUUAUUAAUGUACAACUUAAGUGGCACUCACAACAAAAAAGGCUUAAAAUUUUUCAAAAACAUUAUGGAUGUUCUAUUUUUGUCCUACACGUCAUCAUCUAUGAACUCGAGCGAUCCUAAAUCGUUUGAAAAACAAUUAAGAUUGGCAAUAAACUAUUGAAAAAAUGUAUAUGGGGUAUGCAAAAAGAUACAACAAACAUUUUAUGAUCCCAAUAGAUAACAUAUCAUUUUAUCAUAUGGGUACAAAAGAA